GGGUUAUAGCCAAGUCCAGCCUUAUCAUAUACGGCCUUUUGAUUUUUAAGAAUCAUAUUAAGUUUAUUUGAACUCAAGGUGAAUUUUUCAACUAAUGGUUUUAACUUGGCAAUUUCAUUCUUUAAACUUUGAUUUUCUUGAAGCAGGAUGGAUUUUUUAAUUGAAAUGCUUUCAUUUUAUUUCAAUAAAGAUUGAUUUUUCGAUUUUAGAUCUUUGUUCUUCAUCCCUAGUUUCUUUAAUUCAUCAACUAAAUCAUAAAAAGCUUCAUGUAGUUCUUCAAAUG
rnacentral:lncRNA from 1 species